UACGUAGGGGGCAAGCGUUGUCCGGAAUCAUUGGGCGUAAAGAGCGUGUAGGCGGUCCGGUCAGUCGGUUGUGAAAGUCAAGGGCUCAACCCUUGAAUGCCGGCCGUGCGAACUACUGGGCUGGAGCACUGUAGAGGCAGGCGGAAUUCCGGGUGUAGCGGUGGAAUGCGUAGAGAUCCGGAAGAACACCGGUGGCGAAGGCGGCCUGCUGGGCAGUUGCUGACACUGAGGCGCGACAGCGUGGGGAGCAAACAGG
rnacentral:rRNA from 1 species